rnacentral:rRNA from 1 species
AGCGAACGCUGGCGGCAGGCUUAACACAUGCAAGUCGAGCGGGUGUAGCAAUACAUCAGCGGCAGACGGGUGAGUAACGCGUGGGAACGUACCUUUUGGUUCGGAACAACACAGGGAAACUUGUGCUAAUACCGGAUAAGCCCUUACGGGGAAAGAUUUAUCGCCGAAAGAUCGGCCCGCGUCUGAUUGGCUAGUUGGUAGGGUAACGGCCUACCAAGGCGACGAUCAGUAGCUGGUCUGAGAGGAUGAUCAGCCACAUUGGGACUGAGACACGACCCAAACUCCGACGGGAGGCAGCAGUGGGGAAUAUUGGACAAUGGGGGCAACCCUGAUCCAGCCAUGCCGCGUGAGUGAUGAAGGCCCUAGGGUUGUAAAGCUCUUUUGUGCGGGAAGAUAAUGACGGUACCGCAAGAAUAAGCCCCGGCUAACUUCGUGCCAGCCGCCGCGGUAAAAC